rnacentral:pre_miRNA from 1 species
UAUAAUAUUUGACUCUUUAUUUUAUUUAAAAAAUUUUACGAUUAAUAUUUUUAUUGUUACCAGACGAUAAAACAUAAAUAGUACUUUAUGUGUGGCUAAUUUUUUUUUAAGUUUUUUAUAAAUUUUUCAAAUAAGACAAAUGGUUAAAGUGUUAGACAUUGAAAUCGA